AGAGAGAGUUGUCCUGUAUAUAGUCAGUGUGGUAGAGAGAGUUGUCCUGUAUACUGUCAUUGUGGUAGAGGGAGAGUUGUCCUGUAUAUAGUCAGUGUGGUAGAGAGAGUUGUCCUGUAUACUGUCAUUGCGGUAGAGAGUUGUCCUGUAUAUAGUCAGUGUGGUAGAGGGAGAGUUGUCCUGUAUAUAGUCAGUGUGGUAGAGAGAGUUGUCCUGUAUACUGUCAUUGCGGUAGAGAGUUGUCCUGUAUAUAGUCAGUGUGGUAGAGAGAGAGUUGUCCUGUAUAUAGUCAGUGUGGUAGAGAGAGAGUUCUCCUGUAUUAUAGUCAGUGUGGUAGAGAGAGAGUUGUCCUGUAUAACUGUCAUUGUGGUAGAGAGAGAGUUGUCCUGUAUACUGUCAGUGUGGUAGAGAGAGAGUUGUCCUGUAUAUAGUCAGUGUGGUAGAGAGAGAGUUGUCCUGUAUAUAGUCAGUGUGGUAGAGAGAGAGUUGUCCUGUAUAUAGUCAGUGUGGUAGAGAGAGAGUUGUCCUGUAUAUAGUCAGUGUGGUAGAGAGAGAGUUGUCCUGUAUAUAGUCAGUGUGGUAGAGAGAGAGUUGUCCUGUAUAUAGUCAGUGUGGUAGAGAGAGAGUUGUCCUGUAUAUAGUCAGUGUGGUAGAGAGAGAGUUGUCCUGUAUAUAGUCAGUGUGGUAGAGAGAGAGUUGUCCUGUAUAUAGUCAGUGGUGGUAGAGAGAGAGUUGUCCUGUCUAUAGUCAGUGUGGUAGAGAGAGAGUUGUCCUGUCUAUAGUCAGUGUGGUAGAGAGAGAGUUGUCCUGUAUAUAGUCAGUGUGGUAGAGAGAGUUGUCCUGUAUAUAGUCAGUGUGGUAGAGAGAGAGCUGUCCUGUAUAUAGUCAGUGUGGUAGAGAGAGUUGUCCUGUAUAUAGUCAGUGUGGUAGAGAGAGAGUUCUCCUGUAUAUAGUCAGUGUGGUAGAGAGAGAGUUCUCCUGUAUAUAGUCAGUGUGGUAGAGAGAGAGUUGUCCUGUAUAUAGUCAGUGUGGUAGAGAGAGAGUUGUCCUGUAUAUAGUCAGUGUGGUAGAGAGAGAGUUGUCCUGUAUAUAGUCAGUGUGGUAGAGAGAGAGUUGUCCUGUAUAAGUCAGUGUGGUAGAGAGAGUUGUCCUGUAUAUAGUCAGUGUGGUAGAGAGAGAGUUGUCCUGUAUAUAGUCAGUGUGGUAGAGAGAGAGUUGUCCUGUAUAUAGUCAGUGUGGUAGAGAGAGAGUUGUCCUGUAUAUAGUCAGUGUGGUAGAGAGAGAGUUGUCCUGGCCUCAACAGAUAACAAUCAUUAUAAAACAGCAGCAACAACAAGCUGGUUCCAAUCAGGACAAA
rnacentral:lncRNA from 1 species